UGGGGAAUAUUGCACAAUGGGCGCAAGCCUGAUGCAGCCAUGCCGCGUGUAUGAAGAAGGCCUUCGGGUUGUAAAGUACUUUCAGCGGGGAGGAAGGGAGUAAAGUUAAUACCUUUGCUCAUUGACGUUACCCGCAGAAGAAGCACCGGCUAACUCCGUGCCAGCAGCCGCGGUAAUACGGAGGGUGCAAGCGUUAAUCGGAAUUACUGGGCGUAAAGCGCACGCAGGCCGUUUGUUAAGUCAGAUGUGAAAUCCCCGGGCUCAACCUGGGAACUGCAUCUGAUACUGGCAAGCUUGAGUCUCGUAGAGGGGGGUAGAAUUCCAGGUGUAGCGGUGAAAUGCGUAGAGAUCUGGAGGAAUACCGGUGGCGAAGGCGGCCCCCUGGACGAAGACUGACGCUCAGGUGCGAAAGCGUGGGGAGCAAACAGG
rnacentral:rRNA from 1 species